AGGUCUGUUUAGGUGCAUGUAUGACUCUGGUAAGUAGUAUUUUGACAGGCGUUUUAUGUUAAAUGAAAAGGCCUAGUUUGAAAUUGUCCCCAAUAAUAUUUUAGUUAUUAUCUUCACAUGCUGCAUAAUGUGUCCAUUGCUUAAAGAUGAUCAGUAUUUGCCUACUGGGAUGGGAAGAACUACUGGAUCUCUGGAAUGGGAUGACAUGGGACAACUGUGAUGUUUUUAAGUUACUACUGUGAUGUGAUAAGUUGUACUGUUGGAUCACCUGUUGUUGCGCCUGUUACCCCACCUACAAGCUCUGAUGUCAUAUCAACUGCCACACCUCCAGUCCUCAUGGACGAACAAGCAGCUGCAUCUGUGGUACCAGUGAAUCAGCUGAUACAGACUAUAAACAUCAUUCCACAGUUUGAUGUCCGGCAGGUUCUUGCAGGCUUACCGGAUGGCAAACAAAUUGUUCAGAGCCUUGAGGAUGCUAAUGUUAUCACAACUAGCCAGAGACGUCUUCUUGUCCGAAUUCUGGUGUCACACCUUAUUGAGAAGUUUGGAGAGAAUCCUUCAUCAGAGACCAAAAUGGCUCUGGCAUCGGAUUUGGUUCAGUCAUUUCCAAGUUUGAAAGACUCAUCAAGCUCUGGAAGAGAAAUAUGGUACACUCCAGGACGAUACCACCGGCCAGCCACUGGAUUCUUGGAAGAAAGACUACGGAACAUCAGGAAGAGACUUAGAUCGAUCAGCAGGUCACGGAGCAUGGCACAGACAUCACCUCAAACACCACGUGACGGUGCUUCUGCAAGAGCUCUCCUACCGGAAUGUAGCAUAUCAGAUGAACGUGCGGCACAGCUUGAGGAACAACUCUCAGCCCCUUAGCCAGGUAGAGACCUACAUGAAGGAAACAGCAAUCUACAGGGCCAAGUGCAUUAGGGACAACAGUUGGACCAUUGAUCAGAUCCUCCAAGAGUUCCCCCACCUUAUGACCAAAGGCAUGAUUGCACAGGACUUUCUUCUCCUCCAUGGGGAUGCUGCAUCAAAGUUGUUUGAAAAUUGGAUACCCUUUUAUGCUGAGAAGAUCCUACACCUGGCAAGACAGGAAGGGAAACUGACAAUGCCCCUGGAUGGGUUAACAACAGAUGCUGUUGGGGAACUUGCCCUAAGGCAGCUGCCAGUCUUGCUUCCUCCAACUGCUUACAAAGUCGGUCGUGGCCGUGGAGCAAAAAUGGUUCGCCACACCAUUAAAGAAGGCAGCUUGGCCCUAAUCGAUCAUAAGCCUCCUGGAACAAAUAUGGUGGAGUACCUCCAUGAGGCCAUGGCAUCCAGACCUUACCCCUAUGUCCUGACACUGGGAAAUGACAAUCGGCAUACAGCUCAGACCUUUGUCAUCAUUGCUGGACAGGCUUUGGAACAUGACACUCUGCUUCAGGCCAUUGAUGUCUGCUUUAAGGCAUUCUUUAUUUUGGACAUUAAAUACCCAAAGCAAUGUGAACAUGUGUGGGAGUUUCUGCAGAGUGUUAUUUAUGAAAUGCCAGGAGGGGAGUCUAAACUGGUAAAGUUCCUUCAAACAAGAAUACUUGCUUGCCAGUAGAACCAACAGCUUUAAUGUCAAUUUGUUACUAGACCUGUUAAAUGCUGUCCGUUGUUAAGCAUGGUUUUAAUGAAACUAAUUUCUUACAUUAUAUAUUGUUGGUAUUGAAUAAAAUGGCCUCAAGGACAGCUUGUUGCUACUAG
rnacentral:lncRNA from 1 species